rnacentral:tRNA from 2 species
GAGACUUUAAUUUAAUGGUAAAAUAUGUGACUUUUAAUCAUCAUUAUAUGGGUUCGAAUCCUAUAAGUCUUA